rnacentral:rRNA from 1 species
UACGUAGGGAGCAAGCGUUGUCCGGAAUCAUUGGGCGUAAAGCGCGCGUAGGUGGCCUCAUAAGUCCGCUGUGAAAGUCAAAGGCUCAACCUUUGAAAGCCGGUGGAUACUGUGGGGCUAGAGUACGGAAGAGGCGAGUGGAAUUCCUGGUGUAGCGGUGGAAUGCGCAGAUAUCAGGAGGAACACCUGUGGCGAAAGCGGCUCACUGGACCAUAACUGACGCUGAUGCACGAAAGCUAGGGGAGCAAACAGG